rnacentral:rRNA from 1 species
AUUGAACGCUGGCGGCAUGCCUUACACAUGCAAGUCGAACGGCAGCACGGGAGCAAUCCUGGUGGCGAGUGGCGAACGGGUGAGUAAUAUAUCGGAACGUGCCCGGUCGUGGGGAUAACGUAGCGAAAGCUACGCUAAUACCGCAUACGAUCUACGGAUGAAAGCGGGGGAUCGCAAGACCUCGCGCGAUUGGAGCGGCCGAUAUCAGAUUAGGUAGUUGGUGAGGUAAAGGCUCACCAAGCCGACGACCUGUAGCUGGUCUGAGAGGACGACCAGCCACACUGGGACUGAGACACGGCCCAGACUCCUACGGGAGGCAGCAGUGGGGAAUAUUGGACAAUGGGCGCAAGCCUGAUCCAGCCAUGCCGCGUGCAGGAAGACGCAUCUAUGGUGUGUAAACUGCUUUUGUACGGGAAGAAACACUCCUACCUGUAGGAGCUUGACGGUACCGUAAGAAUAAGGAU